UGACUUCAAUUGUUUCUGUUGCUUUGAUUAUCUGUAUUAGUAGCAAUAAUCAUCCUCUGUAUUUAUUUAUGCGUCAAUGUCUCUCUGUGCUAAAAUUCCACACCAUUUCAGUUCAACACUCCUCUCUCAUCAGUUUCUGUUAGAACGCUUCAAUGCCUUCUCCAACAGAAAAUGCGGUACCCUUUUCGUGCACAAUCACUUGCCUCAGCUGAAGAGUAAUACCCAUUUAUGCCUCACUCUCCAUACAAGGUUUUGCUCAAGUAACAACACUCACAAUGUCAGUCAGGCAUAUGAGCUAUCAGAUUCAAGCAACCAUGAAGGUUCAGAAGAAAGCAAAGAGAGUAAGAAAGGAGGGUCACUGUCAAUCAAUGAGAUCAUGAUGAAACUGAAGAGAUAUGGAGUUUCUGGAAUCCUAUCCUAUGGACUUUUGAACACUGCAUACUAUCUCACAACUUUUCUUUUUGUGUGGUUUUACAUUGCUCCGGCACAAGGAAAGAUGGGAUAUACAUCAGCUGUAAAAAGAUUUCUCAAAUUGUUGGCAAUGGUUUGGGCCGGUAGUCAAGUCACUAAGCUUGCAAGAGCCGCCGGAACUAUGCCAACCAUUUCAAACAAUGGAGUCACUUCUUAUGCAGAGCAUUAGCAAUGGCACCUUUUGUUGACAGAGGAUUGUCAUGGUUUACUGAUAAGUUUAAGUUUCAAUCACAAGGGAAGGCUUUCAUGGCAAUAGUUGGAUUCUGUUUUGGAUUGGCUCUCAUUGUAUUUUUGGUCAUCACAUUACUUUGGGCUUGAAUGCCAUUUUGCUACUUACUUGAGAGGACAUCCAAGUUCCAUUCUCACUGGAAAUGUAUAAACGUUUAUUAUCCCCUAAUUCCAUUUUCAUCUUUCAAGUUAGCUUUUUCAGUUGAGUUUUAGGUCUUCCCCUUAAUCUAUUAUUGGGCUUCUUGUAUUGGUCUAUGCUCAGGUUCUAGCUGUGAGGUGGUGGUAUGAUAAAUUGUUGAGAUUUCACAUGACUAGAAAUAAAUCUCCACCUUUUUAGUUAACUAUUUUGGAUGAUUUUGACUUAAAUUCCAAAUUCUAAGACUAUCUUAAA